GCUCGUAGCUCAGCUGGAUAGAGUACCUGGCUACGAACCAGGCGGUCAGAGGUUCGAAUCCUCUCGAGCGCGCCA
rnacentral:tRNA from 2 species